GGUCCUAAGGUAGCGAAAUUCCUUGUCGGGUAAGUUCCGACCUGCACGAAAGGCGUAACGACUUGGACGCUGUCUCAACCAUGGCCCCGGCGAAAUUGCACUAGUCGUGAAGAUGCGACUUACCCGCAGAAGGACGGGAAGACCCCGUGAACCUUUACUGCAGCUUGGCAUUGGCCGCCGGUCCGUCGCGUAGAGGAUAGGUGGGAGACCGUGAACCCGGGACGCCAGUCCCGGGGGAGUCGCCCUUGGAAUACCACCCCCGACGAACUGGCGUCCUAACCCGCGGCCGUGACCCGGCGCGGGGACCGUGCCAGGUGGGUAGUUUGACUGGGGCGGUCGCCUCCCAAAGAGUAACGGAGGCGCGCGAAGGUCUGCUCUGGGCGGUCGGCAACCGCCCGUCUGAGUGCAAGAGCAUAAGCAGGCCUGACUGCGAGACGUACAGGUCGAGCAGGUGGGAAACCAGGCUCUAGUGAUCCGGCGGCCCGGCGUGGAACGGCCGUCGCUCAACGGAUAAAAGGUACUCCGGGGAUAACAGGCUGAUCUUCCCCAAGAGUCCACAUCGACGGGAAGGUUUGGCACCUCGAUGUCGGCUCAUCGCAUCCUGGGGCUGGAGCAGGUCCCAAGGGUACGGCUGUUCGCCGUUUAAAGCGGUACGCGAGCUGGGUUCAGAACGUCGUGAGACAGUUCGGUCCCUAUCCUCUGUGGGCGUAGGAGAUUUGAGGGAGGCUGCCCCUAGUACGAGAGGACCGGGGUGGACGGACCUCCGGUGCACGGGUUGUUCACCAAGAGCACUGCCCGGUAGCUGAGUCCGGUCGGGAUAACCGCUGAAGGCAUCUAAGCGGGAAGCCCGUCCCGAGAUGAGAUCUCCCUUCGGUAAGGCCACUCGUAGACCACGAGUUCGAUAGGCCGCAGGUGCAAGGCGGGCGACCGCCUCAGCCGAGCGGCACUAAUCGGCCGAGCUCCUCCGCAU
rnacentral:rRNA from 1 species